rnacentral:rRNA from 1 species
ACCAGAAAGUCACGGCUAACUACGUGCCAGCAGCCGCGGUAAUACGUAGGCGGCAAGCGUUAUCCGGAUUUAUUGGGCGUAAAGAGAGUGCAGGCGGUUUUCUAAGUCUGAUGUGAAAGCCUUCGGCUUAACCGGAGAAGUGCAUCGGAAACUGGAUAACUUGAGUGCAGAAGAGGGUAGUGGAACUCCAUGUGUAGCGGUGGAAUGCGUAGAUAUAUGGAAGAACACCAGUGGCGAAGGCGGCUACCUGGUCUGCAACUGACGCUGAGACUCGAAAGCAUGGGUAGCGAACAGGAUUAGAUACCCUGGUAG